AUCCAGCUGACGAGUCUCGAAUAGGACGAAAUGCACCUUGUCCUGGAU
rfam:Schistosoma curassoni strain Dakar, Senegal genome assembly, scaffold: SCTD_scaffold0000137